rnacentral:rRNA from 1 species
AUUGAACGCUGGCGGCAGGCCUAACACAUGCAAGUCGAACGAGUGGCGGACGGGUGAGUAAUGUCUGAGAAACUGACUGAUGGAGGGGGAUAACUAGUGGCAACGGUAGCUAAUACCGCCUAACAUCAGAUGUACCAAGCUGGGAUUAGCUUGUUGGGGGGGUAACGGCUCACCAAGGCGACGAUCCCUAGCUGGUCUGAGAGGAUGACCAGCCACUCUGGAACGGAGACACGGUCUAGACUCCUACGGGAGGCAGCAUUGGGGAAUAUUGGACAAGGGGCGCAAGCCUGAUGCAGCCAUGCCGCGUGUAUGAAGAAGGCCUUCGGGUUGUAAAGUACUUUCAGCGGGGAGGCGUUACCCGCAGAAGAAGCACCGGCUAACUCCGUGCCAGCAGCCGCGGUAAUUC